GGGAAUAUUGCACAAUGGGGGAAACCCUGAUGCAGCGACGCCGCGUGAGUGAAGAAGCGCCUCGGCGCGUAAAGCUCUGUCAGCAGGAACGAUAAUGACGGUACCUGACUAAGAAGCCCCUGCUAACUACGUGCCAGCAGCCGCGGUAAUACGUAGGGGGCAAGCGUUAUCCGGAUUUACUGGGUGUAAAGGGGGCGCAGACGGCAGCGCAAGCCAGGAGUGAAAGCCCGGGGCCCAACCCCGGGACUGCUCUUGGAACUGCGCGGCUGGAGUGCAGGAGGGGCAGGCGGAAUUCCUGGUGUAGCGGUGAAAUGCGUAGAUAUCAGGAGGAACACCGGUGGCGAAGGCGGCCUGCUGGACUGCGACUGACGUUGAGGCCCGAAAGCGUGGGGAGCAAACAG
rnacentral:rRNA from 1 species